UCGGGUAUGGUGUAGCGGUAACAUCGCUGACUCUCACGGUUCUUAGAACCUGAAAUGUCUCAGCAGCCCGGGGUUCGACUCCCCGUAUCCGAG
rnacentral:tRNA from 1 species